rnacentral:rRNA from 1 species
ACGAACGCUGGCGGCGUGCUUCACCCCUGCCAGUCGAACGGAAAGGCCCUGCUUUUGUGGGGUGCUCGAGUGGCGAACGUGUGAGUAACACGUGAGUAACCUGCCCUUGACUUUGGGAUAACUUCAGGAAACUGGGGCUAAUACCGGAUAGGAGCUCCUGCUGCAUGGUGGGGGUUGGAAAGUUUCGGCGGUUGGGGAUGGACUCGCGGCUUAUCAGCUUGUUGGUGGGGUAGUGGCUUACCAAGGCUUUGACGGGUAGCCGGCCUGAGAGGGUGACCGGCCACAUUGGGACUGAGAUACGGCCCAGACUCCUACGGGAGGCAGCAGUGGGGAAUAUUGCACAAUGGGCGGAAGCCUGAUGCAGCAACGCCGCGUGCGGGAUGACGGCCUUCGGGUUGUAAACCGCUUUCGCCUGUGACGAAGCGUGAGUGACGGUAAUGGGUAAAGAAGCACCGGCUAACUACGUG